CCUACGGGAGGCAGCAGUGAGGAAUAUUGGUCAAUGGGCGCGAGCCUGAACCAGCCAAGUCGCGUGAGGGAAGAAGGCCCUACGGGUUGUAAACCUCUUUUGCCGGGGAGCAACGUGUGCCACGUGUGGCGCCACUGAGGGUACCCGUAGAAAAAGCAUCGGCUAACCCCGUGCAAGCAGCCGCGUUAAUACGGGGGUUGGGCGGGUUAUCGGGAUUUAUUGGGUUUAAGGGGUAGGUGGGCGGAGCGUUAGGUCACUGGGAAAGUUGAUGGGUCAAACACCUUACUGCCAUUGAAACUGGCAGUCUUGAGUGGAAGAGAGGUAGGCGGAAUGCGUGGUGUAGCGGUGAAAUGCAUAGAUAUCACGCAGAACCCCGAUUGCGAAGGCAGCAUGCUGGCUUCCGACUGACGCUGAAGCACGAAAGCGUGGGGAUCGAACAGGAUUAGAUACCCGGGUAGUC
rnacentral:rRNA from 1 species